CUUGUGCUUGUGCAGCAGGCGCCAGAACCACUGAGCUAAAUCCCCAGCCCACCUCAUACACUUUUGGUGACGGUGUAAAAUGGUGCACCCACUUGGACAGUAGCCUGCAGUUCAUCAGAUGGCUGAUCCUAAAGCUCAACCGUCAUUGGAGAUGGAGCUCUGAGCAGGAAACAGCCAUGGAAGUGCAGGACGAGAAGGCAGCCAUCUGUUGCCCAAGAGGGAGCCCUCACUAGAAGCCAUCAUGCCGGUACCCUACUCACAGACUACACUUCCGGAACUGAGUGGAUGUGAAUUUCUGCUCCACAGCCACUGAAGCCAUGGCAUUGUAUUAUGGUCACCUGAGCAGAGAGAGACAGCAACAUUAUUCAUAAGAGUCCCAUCCUCAGGUGGCAGACCGCUUGCCUAGAUGCACCAGGCCCUGGGCACCACCCCAGCUCUGGAAAACAAAACAACUGAUGAGUCUAGACGAAUGUGAGACCAGGCAGGCUUUAAAGUGAGGGGAGUAGUGAUAUCAGUGGAGCCAUGUGGGGCAUUCCAUAAUGAUAAGGGGAAAGGUUAAUAAUUUAAAACUUGCAUUUACCUAAUAAUAUAGCUCCAAAACACAUACAGAAUACACAACUAAAAGAGAAAUGGACAAAAUACUCAUAGCUGGCCCCCCUUAUUCUCCUUCCUCUUCUUCUUUUGGCAGUAAUGAAGAUUAAACCAAGGGCCUCACACAUCCUAGGCAAGGACUUUACCACUGAGCUACACCCCCAGCGUUUUUUAUUUUAUUUUGAGACAGGCCAAAUUUCUUAGGCUGCCCUUAAACUUGCAAUCCUGCCUCAGCUGACUAUAAUUAUAACUGUAUGACAUCAGGCCUGGCUAGGCAUGAUAAUAUACUUUUUU